UAGGGAAUCUUCCACAAUGGACGCAAGUCUGAUGGAGCAACGCCGCGUGAGUGAAGAAGGUCUUCGGAUCGUAAAAGCUCUGUUGUUGGUGAAGAAGGAUAGAGGCAGUAACUGGUCUUUAUUUGACGGUAAUCAACCAGAAAGUCACGGCUAACUACGUGCCAGCAGCCGCGGUAAUACGUAGGUGGCAAGCGUUGUCCGGAUUUAUUGGGCGUAAAGCGAGCGCAGGCGGAAUGAUAAGCCUGAUGUGAAAGCCCACGGCUCAACCGUGGAACUGCAUCGGAAACUGUCAUUCUUGAGUGCAGAAGAGGAGAGUGGAACUCCAUGUGUAGCGGUGGAAUGCGUAGAUAUAUGGAAGAACACCAGUGGCGAAGGCGGCUCUCUGGUCUGCAACUGACGCUGAGGCUCGAAAGCAUGGGUAGCGAACAGGAUUAGAUACCCUGGUAGUCCAUGCCGUAAACGAUGAGCGCUAGGUGUUGGGGACUUUCCGGUCCUCAGUGCCGCAGCAAACGCAUUAAGCGCUCCGCCUGGGGAGUACGACCGCAAGGUUGAAAC
rnacentral:rRNA from 1 species